AUUGCCCCAAAAACAUAAUCCGUACAGACUACAGCCCCUACCAUGAUUGAGAUCAUUCUAAGGCAUUCACCUCUUAUCAAGGAGCGUGGAUCGUCUGCUGUGCACCACAUGGUGCGGUGAACAACACACACCAUCCAUUGCACGAUGGACGGCCGCACACAACAGCAUGCAACGAGCACGCAUCCAUGCAUAACCAUCUAUCAUGCAAUAAACAGUGCGUUGUGCAUCACAUUGUGCGGUGCACAGCAGAGAACCCGGGCUCCUUAUCAAAACGGUCACUCCCUCGCUCCC
rnacentral:lncRNA from 1 species